rnacentral:rRNA from 1 species
UCUGAGACAAGAUUUCCGGGCCCUUUCGGGGCGCAGCAGGCGCGAAACCUUUACACUUGUACGCAAAGUGCGAUAAGGGGACUCCGAGUGUGAAGGGCAUAGAGCCUUCACUUUUGUACACCGUAAGGUGGUGUACGAAUAAGGGCUGGGCAAGACCGGUGCCAGCCGCCGCGGUAAUACCGGCAGCCCGAGUGAUGGCCGAUAUUAUUGGGCCUAAAGCGUCCGUAGCUGGCCGGACAAGUCCGUUGGGAAAUCUGUUCGCUUAACGAGCAGGCGUCCAGCGGAAACUGUUCGGCUUGGGACCGGAAGACCUGAGGGGUACGUCCGGGGUAGGAGUGAAAUCCUGUAAUCCUGGACGGACCACCGGUGGCGAAAGCGCCUCAGGAGGACGGAUCCGACAGUGAGGGACGAAAGCUAGGGUCUCGAACCGGAUUAGAUACCCGGGUAGUCCUAGCUGUAAACGAUGCCCGCUAGGUGUGGCGCAGGCUACGAGCCUGCGCUGUGCCGUAGGGAAGCCGAGAAGCGGGCCGCCUGGGAAGUACGUCUGCAAGGAUGAAACUUAAAGGAAUUGGCGGGGGAGCACUACAACCGGAGGAGCCUGCGGUUUAAUUGGACUCAACGCCGGACAUCUCACCAGCUCCGACAGUAGUAAUGACGGUCAGGUUGAUGACCUUACCCGAUGCUACUGAGAGGAGGUGCAUGGCCGCCGUCAGCUCGUACCGUGAGGCGUCCUGUUAAGUCAGGCAACGAGCGAGACCCGCACUCCUAAUUGCCAGCAGUACCCUUUGGGUAGCUGGGUACAUUAGGUGGACUGCCGCUGCUAAAGCGGAGGAAGGAACGGGCAACGGUAGGUCAGUAUGCCCCGAAUGAGCUGGGCAACACGCGGGCUACAAUGGUCGAGACAAUGGGAUGCAACUCCGAGAGGAGGCGCUAAUCUCCUAAACUCGAUCGUAGUUCGGAUUGAGGGCUGAAACUCGCCCUCAUGAAGCUGGAUUCGGUAGUAAUCGCG